GUUUUCAACAAAUUACGUUAAAUACCGUCGACGCUGGCUCGACCUAUUUCAUUUCAGUUCACCUCGUUUCAAUUUCAAUCACAAGGAAAGCUAGGGCUUGGUCGCAGCGGCGAAGCAAGAGAGCGAGACUCCGACGACGAAGUAAGAGAGCGAGUCUCCGGCGACAAAGCAACAGAGCGAGACUCUGGCGGCGAGGCUCCUGCGAAGUUAGGGCUUGAAGGUGAGUAUAGCAGCACGAAGUAGGGCCUCAAUCACAAUCAUCGGUUCUCCGCCUUCAUCAAAAUCAACGGCUUUGCAUUCAACACUGUCAAAUCCUUCAGAUUCUCCAGUUUCCUUCAGCCUCAUCUUGUCAUAAUCUCUCCCUUAGAUUAAUUGCAAUGGCAAAGAGGAAGGUUACUGCAAUAGAUAAAGAGGAUGGGCUUGGUUGAGCUGUGCGACGAAGUUGUGCGUCUUCAAUUUUGCUGGAGUUGUCAAAAACUCUGAAUUGAUCUUUCAGUUAGUUAAACUAUGAAAAAGGCAAUUUAGUAAUUACUUGUUAACUGAAAGAAAUUUAAAAAUGAAUGAACUAGGCCGCAUGGGCUUGGGCGUGAA